GAGAGUUUGAUCCUGGCUCAGGGUGAACGCUGGCGGCGUGCCUAAUACAUGCAAGUCGAACGAUGAAGCUUCUAGCUUGCUAGAAUGCUGAUUAGUGGCGCACGGGUGAGUAACGCAUAGGUCAUGUGCCUCUUAGUUUGGGAUAGCCAUUGGAAACGAUGAUUAAUACCAGAUACUCCCUACGGGGGAAAGAUUUAUCGCUAAGAGAUCAGCCUAUGUCCUAUCAGCUUGUUGGUAAGGUAAUGGCUUACCAAGGCUAUGACGGGUAUCCGGCCUGAGAGGGUGAACGGACACACUGGAACUGAGACACGGUCCAGACUCCUACGGGAGGCAGCAGUAGGGAAUAUUGCUCAAUGGGGGAAACCCUGAAGCAGCAACGCCGCGUGGAGGAUGAAGGUUUUAGGAUUGUAAACUCCUUUUGUUAGAGAAGAUAAUGACGGUAUCUAACGAAUAAGCACCGGCUAACUCCGUGCCAGCAGCCGCGGUAAUACGGAGGGUGCAAGCGUUACUCGGAAUCACUGGGCGUAAAGAGCGCGUAGGCGGGAUAGUCAGUCAGGUGUGAAAUCCUAUGGCUUAACCAUAGAACUGCAUUUGAAACUACUAUUCUAGAGUGUGGGAGAGGUAGGUGGAAUUCUUGGGUGUAGGGGUAAAAUCCC
rnacentral:rRNA from 1 species